rnacentral:rRNA from 1 species
AAUGAACGUUGGCGGCGUGGAUUAGGCAUGCAAGUCGUACGGGCCGCAAGGCCAGUGGCGCAAGGGUGAGUAAGGCGACGGUAACCAACCCCGGGAGUGGGUAUAGCCGCGGGAAACUGCGGGUAAUCCCCAGCGAUGUCCCGAGAAGACAUCUUCUUGGGACCAAAGCUCCGGCGUCCUGGGACGGGCCGUCGUGGUAUUAGGUGGUUGGCGGGGUAACGGCCCACCAAGCCUGCGAUGCCUACCGGGCGUGCGAGCGUGGCCCGGCACACUGGGA